rnacentral:rRNA from 1 species
GACGAACGCUGGCGGCGUGCUUAACACAUGCAAGUCGAACGGAAAGGCCCUGCUUUUGUGGGGUGCUCGAGUGGCGAACGGGUGAGUAACACGUGAGUAACCUGCCCUUGACUUUGGGAUAACUUCAGGAAACUGGGGCUAAUACCGGAUAGGAGCUCCUGCUGCAUGGUGGGGGUUGGAAAGUUUCGGCGGUUGGGGAUGGACUCGCGGCUUAUCAGCUUGUUGGUGGGGUAGUGGCUUACCAAGGCUUUGACGGGUAGCCGGCCUGAGAGGGUGACCGGCCACAUUGGGACUGAGAUACGGCACAGACUCCUACGGGAGGCAGCAGUGGGGAAUAUUGUACAAUGGGAGGAAGCCUGAUGCAGCAAAGCCGCGUGCGGGAUGACGGCCUUCGGGUUGUAAACCGCUUUCGCCUGUGACGAAGCGUGAGUGACGGUAAUGGGUAAAGAAGCACCGGCUAACUACGUG